UACAGAGGUCCCAAGCGUUGUCCGGAGUUACUGGGCGUAAAGGGCCCGCAGGCGGUGGAGUAAGUUUGGAGUGACAGUUCCCAGCUUAACCGGGAAAGGACUUCGAAAACUGCUCGACUUGAGGACUGGAGAGGAAGGCGGAAUUCCGGGUGGAGCGGUGAAAUGCGUAGAGAUCCGGAGGAACACCGACGGCGAAGGCAGCCUUCUGGACAGUGUCUGACGCUGAGGGGCGAAAGCUAGGGGAGCGAACGGG
rnacentral:rRNA from 1 species